CCUACGGGAGGCAGCAGUGGGGAAUAUUGGACAAUGGGCGCAAGCCUGAUCCAGCAAUGCCGCGUGAGUGAUGAAGGCCUUAGGGUCGUAAAGCUCUUUUACCAGGGAUGAUAAUGACAGUACCUGGAGAAUAAGCUCCGGCUAACUCCGUGCCAGCAGCCGCGGUAAUACGGAGGGAGCUAGCGUUGUUCGGAAUUACUGGGCGUAAAGCGUACGUAGGCGGUUAUUCAAGUCAGAGGUGAAAGCCCGGGGCUCAACCCCGGAACGGCCUUUGAAACUAGGUAGCUAGAAUCUUGGAGAGGUCAGUGGAAUUCCGAGUGUAGAGGUGAAAUUCGUAGAUAUUCGGAAGAACACCAGUGGCGAAGGCGACUGACUGGACAAGUAUUGACGCUGAGGUACGAAAGCGUGGGGAGCAAACAGGAUUAGAUACCCUGGUAGUCCACGCCGUAAACGAUGAUAACUAGCUGUUCGGGCACUUGGUGCUUGAGUGGCGCAGCUAACGCAUUAAGUUAUCCGCCUGGGGAGUACGGUCGCAAGAUUAAAACUUAAAUGAAAUUGACGG
rnacentral:rRNA from 1 species